rnacentral:rRNA from 1 species
UACCAGCACCCCGAGUGGUCGGGACGAUUAUUGGGCCUAAAGCAUCCGUAGCCGGUCAUGCAAGUCCUCCGUUAAAUCCACCUGCUUAACAGAUGGGCUGCGGAGGAUACUAUAAGACUAGGAGGCAGGAGAGGCAAGCGGUACUCAGUGGGUAGGGGUAAAAUCCGUUGAUCCAUUGAAGACCACCAGUGGCGAAGGCGGCUUGCCAGAAUGCGCUCGACGGUGAGGGAUGAAAGCUGGGGGGAGCAAACCGG